GCUGUAUUGGUUAAUUGUGAUCACAUGGGUAGGGUCAUAGUUCAGACCAGCCAUUUUGGAUUAGUUUGGAAAGUUUAGGUGAUUCAUCUUUGUUUUAUCUUUGGCAUCCACCUGUAUCGAACCCUGGAGAAGCUUUGAUUUUUCACAGAGUUGUUGAAAAACACUGUAAGAAAGCAAGUUGAUGAAGACAAACAAUGAAAGGAAAACUAGUCCUGCUGACAGAUUCUAAACCUGACCUGAACGGUGACCCCUAGCAGCAGCCCAUGUAGCGAAAGAUGGACAAGCUGGCAGGAUGCCGAAGCUUGCCAACAUCUUCUCUUUUCUCAGCACUCUCAGGGACCGAUAAAGCUUUAAAGGUGCUGCUGAGAUGCUGAGACCAAUAGCACAGAACCACCACCCCCACACACAUCUAAGAAGAAAUGAUAUUCUGUCCUGCAGAGAGAGAAAGUUAUAACUCUGAGAUCUUCAACAGUGCCAUGAUUAAAAAGGUGGAGUGAAACAUGAAAUGAGUAAAAGAAAGAAGAAAUUGGCAAAUG